UACGUAGGGUGCGAGCGUUGUCCGGAAUUAUUGGGCGUAAAGAGCUCGUAGGCGGCUCGUUGCGUCGGCUGUGAAGACCCACAGCUUAACUGUGGGCCUGCAGCCGAUACGGGCGAGCUAGAGUUCGGUAGGGGAGACUGGAAUUCCUGGUGUAGCGGUGAAAUGCGCAGAUAUCAGGAGGAACACCGAUGGCGAAGGCAGGUCUCUGGGCCACUACUGACGCUGAGAAGCGAAAGCAUGGGGAGCGAACAGG
rnacentral:rRNA from 1 species